rnacentral:misc_RNA from 1 species
AAGCUUUUGCCACAUUCUCCAUCUUCAUCAACACCAAGAAAUCCAGUCAAAAUAUGAAAAGAAAUAUAUCAAAUAUCAAAUGGAAACUACUUCUGCAGACUUGAUUAAACCAGAAAUAGAUGUAGUGUAAAAAGAGACUAACUUUUUUAAGUUAAACAAUUUUCAAAUAACGAAGAUCAAUUUAAACAUAAAUAAAAAAUAAAAAACAAAAAAUAAAAAAUAAAAAACCAAAAGCACAGAUUAUGUAUAGGCCAAAAAGGACAUAAACGAAUCCCUCCCCAAGAACAGCACCAAACACGUAAGCCGAUGCAAAUGAAUCAACUGAGAGGGAGAUGAAAGAGGAAAACGAAACUAAAUCUAAUAACUUGAAACUAUAAUUCAAUUUCAAAUGAUUUGAACAAACAAGAAAC